rnacentral:rRNA from 1 species
AACGAACGCUGGCGGCAGGCCUAACACAUGCAAGUCGAACGCCCCGCAAGGGGAGUGGCAGACGGGUGAGUAACACGUGGGAACCUUCCCAACAGUACGGAAUAGCCCAGGGAAACUUGGAGUAAUACCGUAUAUUCCCGAGAGGGGAAAGAUUUAUCGCUGUUGGAUGGGCCCGCGUCGGAUUAGCUAGUUGGUGAGGUAACGGCUCACCAAGGCGACGAUCCGUAGCUGGUUUGAGAGAAUGACCAGCCACACUGGGACUGAGACACGGCCCAGACUCCUACGGGAGGCAGCAGUGGGGAAUCUUGGACAAUGGGCGCAAGCCUGAUCCAGCCAUGCCGCGUGAGUGACGAAGGCCUUAGGGUUGUAAAGCUCUUUUGCCGGGGACGAUAAUGACGGUACCCGGAGAAUAAGUCCCGGCUAACUUCGUGCCAGCCGCCGCCGUAACAC